rnacentral:rRNA from 1 species
AGAGUUUGAUUAUGGCUCAGGAUUAACGCUAGCGGCAGGCCUAAUACAUGCAAGUCGAACGGGAUUCAAGGUAGCAAUAUUUUGAUGAGAGUGGCGCACGGGUGAGUAACACGUAUGCAAUUUGCCUUUAACUGGGGAAUAGCCCUCCGAAAGGAGGAUUAAUACCGCAUAACAUUUCAGAAUGGCAUCAUUUUGAAAUUAAACCUCCGGGGGUUAAAGAUAAGCAUGCAUCCGAUUAGGUAGUUGGUGUGGUAACGGCACACCAAGCCAACGAUCGGUAGGGGGUCUGAGAGGAUGAUCCCCCACACUGGUACUGAGACACGGACCAGACUCCUACGGGAGGCAGCAGUAAGGAAUAUUGGACAAUGGAGGCAACUCUGAUCCAGCCAUGCCGCGUGAAGGAAUAAGGCCCUAUGGGUUGUAAACUUCUUUUAGACGGGACAAAACCCCUUUACGUGUAAAGGGUUGAUGGUACUGUCAGAAUAAGCAUCGGCUAACUUCGUGCCAGCAGCCGCGGUAAUACGAAGGAUGCAAGCGUUAUCCGGAAUUAUUGGGUUUAAAGGGUGCGUAGGCGGACUGAUAAGUCAGUGGUGAAAGCCUGCAGCUUAACUGCAGAAUUGCCGUUGAUACUGUCAGUCUUGAGUACAGUUGAGGUAGGCGGAAUGUGUCAUGUAGCGGUGAAAUGCUUAGAUAUGACACAGAACACCGAUUGCGAAGGCAGCUUGCUAAGCUGUAACUGACGCUGAGGCACGAAAGCGUGGGGAGCAAACAGGAUUAGAUACCCUGGUAGUCCACGCCCUAAACGAUGAUAACUCGCUGUUGGCGAUACACAGCCAGCGGCCAAGCGAAAGCAUUAAGUUAUCCACCUGGGGAGUACGACCGCAAGGUUGAAACUCAAAGGAAUGACGG